UACGGGGGGAGCAAGCGUUGUUCGGAUGUACUGGGCGUAAAGGGCGCGUAGGCGGCCUGUUAAGUCGAACGUGAAAUCCCCGGGCUCAACCCGGGAACUGCGUCCGAUACUGGCAGGCUUGAAUCCGGGAGAGGGAUGCGGAAUUCCAGGUGUAGCGGUGAAAUGCGUAGAUAUCUGGAGGAACACCGGUGGCGAAGGCGGCAUCCUGGACCGGUAUUGACGCUGAGGCGCGAAAGCCAGGGGAGCAAACGGG
rnacentral:rRNA from 1 species